UACGUAGGGCGCAAGCGUUGUCCGGAUUUAUUGGGCGUAAAGAGCUCGUAGGCGGUCCGUCACGUCGGCUGUGAAAACCCGAGGCUCAACCUCGGGCCUGCAGUCGAUACGGGCAGACUAGAGUGCGGUAGGGGAGACUGGAAUUCCUGGUGUAGCGGUGAAAUGCGCAGAUAUCAGGAGGAACACCGGUGGCGAAGGCGGGUCUCUGGGCCGAUACUGACGCUGAGGAGCGAAAGCGUGGGGAGCGAACAGG
rnacentral:rRNA from 1 species